rnacentral:rRNA from 1 species
UACGUAGGUCCCGAGCGUUGUCCGGAUUUAUUGGGCGUAAAGCGAGCGCAGGUGGUUUAUUAAGUCUGGUGUAAAAGGCAGUGGCUCAACCAUUGUGUGCAUUGGAAACUGUUAGACUUGAGUGCAGUAGAGGAGAGUGGAAUUCCAUGUGUAGCGGUGAAAUGCGUAGAUAUAUGGAGGAACACCGGUGGCGAAAGCGGCUCUCUGGACUGUCACUGACACUGAGGCUCGAAAGCGUGGGGAGCAAACAGG